rnacentral:misc_RNA from 1 species
GUGAAUCAUCAAAUUUUUGAACGCAUAUUGCACUAUCUGGUAUUCCGGAGAGUAUGCCUAUCUGAGGGUCAUUUGAAAUAAUAUAAAUUUCGAGAUUUUCUUGAAAUCAAAAAUGGGUCGGUCAAGCUUUGGUGUGGUGGUCGCCUAAAAUGCAGGACAAGCUAAUUUUUGGGGUUGGGUGAUACUUUAAGUACCCUGUGGACUUCACAAGAAAUCUUCGAG